UGAAUAUAAGAACUCGUCUCUUAACUUUUAACUAAAAAAGUUAAGAACCGACUCUUAAAACUCUUAUUUAAGAACCGGUUUUUAGUUUUUUAAUUAAAAGUUAAGAGACGGGUUCUUAUAUUCC
rnacentral:pre_miRNA from 1 species